GGAGAGGUGGCUCAGCAGUUAAGAGCACUGGCUGCUCUUUCAGAGGUCCUGAGUUCAAUUCCCAGCAACUACA
rnacentral:tRNA from 1 species